GACGAACGCUGGCGGCGUGCUUAACACAUGCAAGUCGAACGGAAAGGCCCUGCUUUUGUGGGGUGCUCGAGUGGCGAACGGGUGAGUAACACGUGAGUAACCUGCCCUUGACUUUGGGAUAACUUCAGGAAACUGGGGCUAAUACCGGAUAGGAGCUCCUGCUGCAUGGUGGGGGUUGGAAAGUUUCGGUGGCAGGGCAUGGACUCGCGGCUUAUCAGCUUGUUGGUGGGGUAGUGGCUUACCAAGGCUUUGACGGGUAGCCGGCCUGAGAGGGUGACCGGCCACAUUGGGACUGAGAUAGGGCCCAGACUCCUACGGGAGGCAGCAGUGGGGAAUAUUGCGCGAUGGGCGGAAGCAGGAUGCAGCAACGCCGCGUGCGGGAUGACGGCCUUCGGGUUGUAAACCGCUUUCGCCUGUGACGAAGCGUGAGUGACGGUAAUGUGUAAAGAAGCACCGGCUAACUACGUG
rnacentral:rRNA from 1 species